GAACGCGAAUUGUCUUCGGACAUAGUAGAGUGGCGCACGGGUGAGUAACACGUGAGUAAUCUUCCCCUAGGCCUGGGAUAACAUUCCGAAAGGAGUGCUAAUACUGGAUAAGACCACAGCCUCUGCGGGGGCAGUGAGAAAAGACGGGGAUCCGAAAGGACCUGUCACCAAGGGAUGAGUUCGUGGCCUAUCAGCUUGUUGGUGAGGUAAUGGCUCACCAAGGCGAAGACGGGUAGCUGGUCUGAGAGGAUGAUCAGCCACACUGGAACUGAGACACGGUCCAGACUCCUACGGGAGGCAGCAGUGGGGAAU
rnacentral:rRNA from 1 species